CCUACGGGAGGCAGCAGUGAGGAAUAUUGGUCAAUGGACGAGAGUCUGAACCAGCCAAGUAGCGUGAAGGAUGACUGCCCUAUGGGUUUUAAACUUCUUUUAUAAAGGAAUAAAAUGAGCCACGUGUGCCUUUUUGCAUGUACUUUAUGAAUAAGGAUCGGCUAACUCCGUGCCAGCAGCCGCGGUAAUACGGAGGAUCCGAGCGUUAUCCGGAUUUAUUGGGUUUAAAGGGAGCGUAGAUGGGUUGUUAAGUCAGUUGUGAAAGUUUGCGGCUCAACCGUAAAAUUGCAAUUGAUACUGGGAGUCUUGAGUACAGGUGAGGUAGGCGGAAUUCGUGGUGUAGCGGUGAAAUGCUUAGAUAUCACGAAGAACCCCGAUUGCGAAGGCAGCUUACUAAACUGUGACUGACAUUGAUGCUCGAAAGUGUGGGUAUCAAACAGGAUUAGAUACCCGGGUAGUC
rnacentral:rRNA from 1 species